CGCCGAGCACGGUGGCAAGAUGCCGAGCUCAUCCUUCAACCCGUCCCGACCUCUAAAGACUUCAUUGUGCCAAGUCUGUGCGGACUGUUCUGUUCGUGUCCACUGUUUUUGCUGAACAAUACCAUUGCGCACAACUAGAGCCGUUAUCAGCCGGUUUGAUCUUGAACGGAAAGUCAAAACCACCCUGACCCGUCGAGGCAUGGACUCCACUAGACCCCUGAAGGUGUGCUGUGGUAUCUGCACCAAGAUGUUAGCAGCAGAUCCUUUAAGUCCUGUAAGUUGCGAUGUGGAGCCUCCAUGGAUUGGACUUGUUUGUUCAGCACAUCCCACAGAUGCUCCAUUGGAUUGAGAUCUGGGGAAUUUGGAGGCCAAGUCAACACCUCAAACUCGUUGUUGUGUUCCUCAAACUAUUCCUGAACCAUUUUUGCUUUGUGGCAGGAGCAUUAUCCUGCUGAAAGAGGCACCAGGGAAUACCGUUUCCAUGAAAGGGUGUACAUGGUCUGCAACAAUGCUUAGGUAGGUGGUACGUGUCAAAGUAACAUCCACAUGGAUGGCAGGACCCAAGGUUUCCCAGCAGAACAUUGCCCAAAGCAUCACACUGCCUCCGCCGGCUUGCCUUCUUCCCAUAGUGCAUCCUGGUGCCAUGUGGUUAGAGACGCACACACACUUCUUGAGCAAUUUGAGCUACAGUAGCUCGUCUGUUGGAUCGGACCACACAGGGCCAGCCUUCGCUCCCCAUGUGCAUCAAUGAGCCUCGGCCGCCAAUGACCCUGUCGCCGGUUCGCCACUGUUCCUUCCUUGGAGCACUUUUGAUAGAUACUGACCACUGCAGACCGGGAACACCCCACAAGAGCUGCAGUUCUGGAGAUGCUCUGACCCAGUCAUCUAGCCAUCACAAUUUGGCCCUUGUCAAACUCGCUCAAAUCCUUACAUUUUUCCUGCGUCUAACUUUGAGGAUAAAAUGUUCACUUGCUGCCUAAUAUAUCCACCCACUAACUGGUGCUGUGAUGAAGAGAAGAUCAGUGUUAUUCACUUUUUUCUCUGUAGCACAUGUACCACCAGUAAUUAGACCUUAUCGGUCAUUAUCAUGUUACACUGAUAAGACACUAAGUCAAACCGACUACUGGUAAUUCAUAUUUUAUUACCAUUUAUUGUAACUGACUCUUAUAGAUGUCAGUUUAAAUAUGAAGGCUGUACAUUAAACAUCUUUUAAUGCCCACAGAACAUAACAUACUUCAGUUAAACAUUUGAUCAUAUUACAUUUUGUAAAGCAAGGCAUGACAAUGUACAUACGCUUAUAAGACAAUUAUACAAAUCUUAAUGAUGCAUGUCAGUUGAUGCUACUGAAGUGCCAGAAUGAAUUAAUAAAAAAUGAUUAACUUG